CGAUUGAACGCUGGCGGCAUGCCUUACACAUGCAAGUCGAACGGUAACGGGCCUUCGGGUGCCGACGAGUGGCGAACGGGUGAGUAAUGCAUCGGAACGUACCUUUCAGUGGGGGAUAACGUAGCGAAAGCUACGCUAAUACCGCAUACGAUCUACGGAUGAAAGCGGGGGAUCGCAAGACCUCGCGCGAUUGGAGCGGCCGAUAUCAGAUUAGCUAGUUGGUGGGGUAAAAGCUCACCAAGGCGACGAUCUGUAGCUGGUCUGAGAGGACGACCAGCCACACUGGAACUGAGACACGGUCCAGACUCCUACGGGAGGCAGCAGUGGGGAAUUUUGGACAAUGGGCGAAAGCCUGAUCCAGCAAUGCCGCGUGCAGGACGAAGGCCUUCGGGUUGUAAACUGCUUUUGUACGGAACGAAAAAGUCUGCCCUAAUACGGUGGGCUCAUGACGGUACCGUAAGAAUAAGCACCGGCUAACUACGUG
rnacentral:rRNA from 1 species